GCCAGGCAUGGUGGUGCGUGCCUGUAAUCCCAGCUACUCGGGAGGCUGAGGCAGGAGAAUCGCUUGAACUCGGGAGGCGGAGGUUGCAGUGAGCUGAGAUCACGCCACUACACUCCAGCCUGGGCGACGGAGUGAGAGUCCAUUUCAAAGAAAAAAAAAGAAAAAGAAAAGAAUAGAACUCCUUGGAUGUCUUUUUUUUUUUUUUUUGAGAUGGAGUCUCGUUCUGUCGCCCAGGCUGGAGUGUAGUGGCGAUCUCGCUCACUGCAAGCUCCGCCUCUCCGGUUCACGCCAUUCUCCUGCCUCAG
rnacentral:sRNA from 1 species